ensembl:lncRNA
CAUGGAGGCCCCAACCUCUACCUGCGUCCCAAACCUGCCCGCUCUCUCCUCGCACCUUCCAAGGUCCCGGGACGCCCUGGCGCCUGCCCCGAACGCAAGCUCUGGCUGCCUCGCUUGCUCCGUGACCUGACGGGGCUUCAGGCAGCAGCGACGCGAGGCCGGGGCGUCCAGCGUCAGACGGGUUGGCUGCGGCCACCUCGCCUGGCCCCCGAGGCACUCGGAGCUGAAAAAACAGGACAGGUUCCCCUCCUGCCGCUCAGGGACACGGAGUCCCCGCCCGCCAGUCCGCUGAGCGCUCUGGGACGCGGAGUCCCACCGCCCAGCCGCCCGCUGAGCGCUCUGAGACACGGAGUCCCACCGUCCACGCGCCCGCUGAGCGCUCUGGGACGCGGAGUCCCACCAUCCACGCGCCCGCUGAGCACUCUGGGACGCGGAGUUCCAGCGCCCAGCCGCCCGCUGAGCGCUCUGAGACGCGGAGUCCCACCGUCCACGCGCCCGCUGAGCGCUCUGGGACGCGGAGUCCCACCGUCCAGCCGCCCGCUGAGCGCUGUGGGACGCGGAGUCCCACCGUCCAGCCGCCCGCUGAGCGCUGUGGGACGCGGAGUCCCACCGUCCAGCCGCCCGCUGAGCGCUCUGGGACGCGGAGUCCCACCGCCCAGCCGCCCGCUGAGCAUUCUGGGACACGGAGUCCCACCGUCCAGCCGCCCGCUGAGCGCUCUGGGACACGGAGUCCCACCGCCCAGCCGCCCGCUGAGCACUCUGGGACGCGGAGUCCCACAGUCCACGCGCCCGCUGAGCGCUCUGGGACAUGGAGUCCCACCGCCCAGCCGCCCGCUGAGCAUUCUGGGACGCGGAGUCCCGCCGCCCGCUGAGCACUCUGGGACGCGGAGUCCCACAGUCCACGCGCCCGCUGAGCGCUCUGGGACAUGGAGUCCCACCGCCCAGCCGCCCGCUGAGCGCUCUGGGACACGGAGUCCCAGCGCCCAGCCGCCCGCUGAGCAUUCUGGGACACGGAGUCCCACCGCCCAGCCGCCCGACAGGCACUCUGGGACGUGCAGCCCUGUUGCCACGGAGGACGCGGGAACUUGGGGUCAGUGGUCAGGAGCCCGUGCGACAGUGCCCGUGAGGGCGCAACUCCUCCUCUCGAGAAGCUGUGGCGGUGGCGCUGCCCCCGGCCCCCUGCCCCUGCUGGGGAAACAAGCGGUUCUAAGGCCCCAGCACGCCAGCCGAGGCAUCACAGUCCCCGGCCACCCUCGCCUCCUCAGAGAGCCUGGAGCGGUCGCUCCGGCUCUGGUAGUGCAUGAGGGGCGGGGCCAGCGCGGCGUGCCUUCCCAUUGGCUGCCGCGUCCGUCCCGCGCGGAGGGGGCGCGGGAGCCCCAGGGACUGCGGAGUCCGAGGGCUGCGGCAGCCGGCGGGGGGUCCCGGGGCCGGACGCAGGGAGGAGUUGGGGCCGUGGGGCCCUUGCGGGCAGCCCUUCCUGGGUGCCGCCCCGCCGCCCCGGUGGGCCGCCUCUGCGGAGCAGGCAGCCUUGGGGAGGGGGCUGCGGCGUCCCUUGGCGUGGCGCAGACACCCACCCCUGCCUCUGCCCUGCCUGGAGCUCCCGGCCCGCGCCGGCUCCUGGAGGCCCUCGCGGCCUCCCUCGUGUUCCGUGUGGCGUUCGACUGUGAGACACGGCCGCUCUUCGACAGAGCCCCGGACAGCCUCUCCCGCUGGCCCAUCCUAAUUGGUCUGGUCUUUUUUUUGUAA